UCAUUAAACAUGCCAUCCUUUAGAAAUCUAGCUUUAUUAAUUUCUACUAUUUAUGGUAUAUGAGAUAGACAAUAAAAUCUAUACCCUUUUGAUUUCUUUAAAUGAAAAAAUCACUAGUCAUUCUAAGAUCAAAUACAAUGCUCUUGUAGGUUGUAAAGUUUGGCUUUAACUAAACAUCCUUAUAUACGCAUAAAUCCUAAACUAGAUUUUCUAAUGGUACAUAACUCAUCGGGAGUUCUUUGAGCUACCUUA
rnacentral:lncRNA from 1 species